rnacentral:rRNA from 1 species
UACGUAGGUGGCAAGCGUUGUUCGGAAUUAUUGGGCGUAAAGGGCGCGUAGGCGGCAUGUUAAGUCGGCUGUGAAAUCCCCGAGCUCAACUCGGGAACUGCGUCCGAUACUGGCGGGCUUGAAUCCGGGAGAGGGAUGCGGAAUUCCAGGUGUAGCGGUGAAAUGCGUAGAUAUCUGGAGGAACACCGGUGGCGAAGGCGGCAUCCUGGACCGGCAUUGACGCUGAGGCGCGAAAGCUAGGGGAGCAAACGGG